rnacentral:rRNA from 1 species
UCAUUUAUUUGGUGUUGUGGGGAAUCAGGACUGUUACUUUGAAAAAAUUAGAGUGUUUAAAGCAGGCUCACGCUUGAAUACAUUAGCAUGGAAUAAUGAAAUAGGACGUUUGAUUCUAUUUUGUUGGUUUCUAGGAUCGACGUAAUGAUUAAUAGGGAUAGUUGGGGGCAUUAGUAUUCAAUUGUCAGAGGUGAAAUUCUUGGAUUUAUUGAAGACUAACUGCUGCGAAAGCAUUUGCCAAGGAUGUUUUCAUUAAUCAAGAACGAAAGUUAGGGGAUCGAAGACGAUCAGAUACCGUCGUAGUCUUAACCAUAAACUAUGCCGACUAGGGAUCGGAUGAUGUUAAUUUUUUAAUGACUCAUUCGGCGCCUUACG